rnacentral:rRNA from 1 species
UGCCAGCAUCCGCGGUACUCCUGAUUGUGCGAGCGUUAAUCGGAAUUACUGGGCGUAAAGCGCAUGCAGGUGGUUCAUUAAGUCAGAUGUGAAAGCCCGGGGCUCAACCUCGGAACUGCAUUUAAAACUGGUGAACUAGAGUGCUGUAGAGGGGGGUAGAAUUUCAGGUGUAGCGGUGAAAUGCGUAGAGAUCUGAAGGAAUACCAGUGGCGAAGGCGGCCCCCUGGACAGACACUGACACUCAGAUGCGAAAGCGGGGGGAGCAAACAGGAUUAGAUA